rnacentral:rRNA from 1 species
GACGAACGCUGGCGGCGUGCUUAACACAUGCAAGUCGAACGGAAAGGCCCUGCUUUUGUGGGGUGCUCGAGUGGCGAACGGGUGAGUAACACGUGAGUAACCUGCCCUUGACUUUGGGAUAACUUCAGGAAACUGGGGCUAAUACCGGAUAGGAGCUCCUGCCGCAUGGUGGGGGUUGGAAAGUUUCGGCGGUUGGGGAUGGACUCGCGGCUUAUCAGCUUGUUGGUGGGGUAGUGGCUUACAAAGGCUUUGACGGGUAGCCGGCCUGAGAGGGUGACCGGCCACAUUGGGACUGAGAUACGGCCCAGACUCCUACGGGAGGCAGCAGUGGGGAAUAUUGCACAAUGGGCGGAAGACUGAUGCAGCAACGCCGCGUGCGGGAUGACGGCCUUCGGGUUGUAAACCGCUUUCGCCUGUGACGAAGCGUGAGUGACGGUAAUGGGUAAAGAAGCACCGGCUAACUACGUG